rnacentral:lncRNA from 1 species
CUAAUUUCAACAACCGAACGGAUUAUAUCGAUUAGAAUUUGGAAAAACCUGUCCAGUCUGCUUCGAUUAGGACAUUGGUGAUACUGUGUUAUCUCUCAUGGGUACUUUUAUUUCAUAUCUCCAAAAUGUCCUUGUUCCAAUUGGUGGGAAUUUGAUGUUUCUCAAGCCACAGUCUUUGCCGAUGACAGGCAUACCCAUAACAUGAUGCAGCCACCACCAUGCUUGAAAGUAUGAAGAGUGUGUCACGAGGAGCGGAACAGGAGCAGACUCAGAUGAGGAGACUGGGAUGAGG